rfam:Gossypium raimondii chromosome 5, whole genome shotgun sequence.
AGACCAUGGUGUGGGCAUCUUUGUAUUAGUGACUUAAAACACUCCCAAGCUUCGUGAAAAUUUUCUCCUUCCAACAUUUAAACAUUGCAAUCUCUCUCCUUAGUUG